rnacentral:rRNA from 1 species
UUCCAGACUCCUACGGGAGGCAGCAGUGAGGAAUAUUGGUCAAUGGGCGGAAGCCUGAACCAGCCAAGUCGCGUGAGGGAAGAAGGCCCUGCGGGUCGCAGACCUCUUUGGACGGGGAGCAAGGCCGCCGACGUGUCGGCGGAAGGAGAGUACCCGUAGAACAAGCAUCGGCUAACUCCGUGCCAGCAGCCGCGGUAAUACGUAGGUGGCAAGCGUUGUCCGGAUUUACUGGGUGUAAAGGGCGUGCAGCCGGAGAGACAAGUCAGAUGUGAAAUCCGCAGGCUCAACCUGCGAACUGCAUUUGAAACUGUUUCCCUUGAGUAUCGGAGAGGUCAUCGGAAUUCCUAGUGUAGCGGUGAAAUGCGUAGAUAUUAGGAAGAACACCAGUGGCGAAGGCGGAUGACUGGACGACAACUGACGGUGAGGCGCGAAAGCGUGGGGAGCAAACAGGAUUAGAUACCCCAGUAAA